AGCCCAAAUUUACGCGUUAUUUCUGACAGUAGGACCCGUAGCAGAAGCCUUCACGGUCUAGGCUCGAGACGAGACGGAGUGACCCACUAGCAGUCUCGUACAACGAACUAUCCUGUUAGCCAGCCCUAAACCCUUCUGUCCCGAUGGCGUCGUCGUCGUCGCCGCCGCCGCCGAAGCUGCCGAUUCCCGGCCGCCGCAACAUACUCAUCACUAGCGCACUUCCGUACGUCAAUAAUGUCCCGCACCUAGGGAACAUCAUCGGCUGUGUGCUCAGCGCAGACGUGUUCGCGCGGUACUGCCGGCUCCGGGGUUACAACGCUAUCUACAUAUGCGGGACGGACGAGUAUGGCACCGCCACCGAAACGAAGGCCAUGGAGGAGAAGUGCACGCCCAAGGAGAUCUGCGAUAAGUACCAUGCUAUCCACAAUGAAGUUUACAAGUGGUUUAACAUAAAAUUUGACAAGUUUGGACGGACCUCUUCUCCUGAGCAGACAGAAGUCUGCCAUGCAAUUUUCCAUAAAUUGAUGGAAAACAAUUGGCUCACAGAAAAUACUAUGCAGCAGCUUUACUGCGAUACAUGCCAAAAAUUUUUAGCUGAUAGGCUUGUUGAAGGAACAUGCCCGAACAAAGUCUGCAACGCAUCAGCAAGAGGAGAUCAGUGUGAAACAUGCAGCACCUUGUUGAAUCCAACUGAACUUAUUGACCCAAAGUGCAAGGUUUGUAAGAACACUCCACGUAUUCGUGACACGGAUCACUUAUUUUUGGAGCUUCCUCUAUUGAGAGACAAGCUGGUAAACUACAUCAAUGAAACUUCAGUUGCUGGUUUGUGGAGUCAAAAUGCUAUUCAAGCAACAAAUGCAUGGCUGAAGGAAGGGCUAAAGCCACGCUGCAUCACCAGAGAUCUUAAAUGGGGUGUUCCUGUCCCCCAUGAGAAGUAUAAAGACAAGGUGUUCUAUGUUUGGUUUGAUGCACCUAUCGGCUACGUGUCUAUUACGGCAUCCUAUACACCUGAGUGGGAGAAGUGGUGGAAGAAUCCUGAUAAUGUAGAAUUGUUUCAGUUUAUGGGCAAAGAUAAUGUGCCGUUUCACACGAUCAUGUUCCCUUCAACGCUACUCGGAACUGGGGAAAAGUGGACAAUGAUGAAAACGAUAAGUGUUACUGAAUAUUUGAAUUAUGAAGCAGGCAAAUUUUCCAAGAGUAAAGGUAUUGGAGUCUUUGGUAAUGAUGCAAAGGAUACAAAUAUUCCUCCUGAAGUAUGGCGAUACUAUUUGCUUAUGAAUCGCCCUGAGGCAUCAGAUACACUCUUUACUUGGGCUGAUUUGCAAGCCAAAUUGAACAGCGAGUUGCUGAACAACUUGGGAAACUUCAUUAAUCGUGUGCUAAGUUUUGUUGCAAAACCAGCUGGAGCUGGAUAUGGUUCUGUUGUACCCGAUGCACCUAAUGCGGGCGCGCACACAUUGACAAAAACACUUGCAGAAAAAACCAGUAAAUGGGUUGAACAAUAUCUCGACGCAAUGGAAAAGGUUAAACUGAAACAAGGACUCAAGAGUGCAAUGGGCAUUUCUAGUGAUGGAAAUGCAUAUUUGCAAGAGAGCCAGUUUUGGAAACUUUACAAGGAAGAUCCUGCAGCAUGUGCAAUCGUGAUGAAAACUUCAGUUGGCCUUGUUUACCUGCUUGCCUGUCUGCUGGAGCCUUUCAUGCCCUCUUUUUCUGAUGAAGUGUUACGUCAACUAAAUUUAUCUCCAGAAGAAAAUCUGUCAUUAAGUGAAGAAAAGGGAGAAAUUGCGAAGGCAAAAACUCCUUGGAAUUUUGUACCAGCAGGUCACAGAAUAGGGAAACCCGCACCUCUGUUCAAGGAAUUGAAAGAUGAAGACGUAGCUCUCCAUAGAGAAAAAUAUGCAGGGAGUCAAGCUGAGAGAAGCUCAAAAGCAGCAGCUGAUGCUGAAGCCAACAAAGUUGCUAACCAGCUCAAGGGCACAAAAUUAUCUGGGCUGCUCAACUCUGAAGCUCAUGAAGCUGAGCUGGUUUUGUGAAGCUGUGCUGUGCGCCUGUGCCAAACACCUCCUUAGUUUUCCUCUCGUGUCUCUUUCAGAUGGAGGAACAAAAAAGGAACCGAAGAAACAAUCUGGUGGCUCAAAAUCGAAGACAGCUGAGGCUGACAUUACAGUUGCAAAGUUGGAUAUUAGAGUGGGGCUUAUCAGAAAAGCAGAGAAGCAUCCAGAUGCUGAUUCCCUUUACGUGGAGGAGAUUGAUGUUGGAGAGGACGCGCCGAGAACAGUAGUCAGUGGCCUUGUUAAAUUCAUACCUCUUGAAGAAAUGCAGAGCCGGAAAGUCUGCGUGCUCUGCAAUCUGAAACCGGUGGCAAUGCGUGGCAUAAAAUCACAUGCAAUGGUUCUGGCUGCAUCGAAUGAGGACCACACGAAGGUUGAGUUGGUGGAACCUCCAGAGUCUGCUGCUGUGGGGGAGCGUGUUACCUUUGCUGGGUACGCGGGUGAGCCCGAGGCUUCCCUCAGUGGCAAGAGCAAGACGUGGGAGAAGCUGGCCGCCGAGUUGCACAGCAACGGUGAGCUGGUGGCGUGCUACAGAGAUGUGCCCUUCACUACCUCGGCUGGAGUCUGCAGGGUGAAGACAAUAGCGAACGGAGAGAUUCGCUAGUACCACCACAUCACCGAACUGCAGCCAGCGGAGCCAGUCUGUGUCUGGUUUCGCUGAAAGCGAUUGUUCCUGAUUUUCAUCUUCGAAAAUUUUGGUAUUUCCAUUUGUUCAAAUACCGCAAAGCAACCAUGAUUUAGAAAAAUACAGAGAGUGCCCUUUCCGCAUCCUCUUUUUUAUCAGUUAGUACUUGGCUCCUGUUGUCUCACUCGGAGGCUCCAUGCUUCUUGCUCUAUCUGUAUUUCCUUAGAAGUGAUUCUUUACCUGCUCUUAUUUAUAGUUCCAUAUGAAAGGAACGAAGUGUAUCAGAACAUCACUUUAUAUAUAGGAGGGCCUGUCUGUCACUGCCCCCUGUCAAUGCAUGGAAAGGAGCAAGCAAGGAAGCUUGAAGGAA